rnacentral:rRNA from 1 species
UACGUAGGGUGCGAGCGUUGUCCGGAAUUACUGGGCGUAAAGAGCUCGUAGGUGGUUUGUCGCGUUGUUCGUGAAAUCUCACGGCUUAACUGUGAGCGUGCGGGCGAUACGGGCAGACUGGAGUACUGCAGGGGAGACUGGAAUUCCUGGUGUAGCGGUGGAAUGCGCAGAUAUCAGGAGGAACACCGGUGGCGAAGGCGGGGUCUCUGGGGCAGUAACUGACGCUGAGGAGCGAAAGCGUGGGGAGCGAACAGG